CCUGAUCUAGCCAUGCCGCGUGAGUGAUGAAGGCCCUAGGGUCGUAAAGCUCUUUCAACUGUGAAGAUAAUGACGGUAGCUGUAGAAGAAACCCCGGCUAACUCCGUGCCAGCAGCCGCGGUAAUACGGAGGGGGUUAGCGUUGUUCGGAAUUACUGGGCGUAAAGCGUACGUAGGCGGAUUAAUAAGUUAGAGGUGAAAUCCCAGGGCUCAACCCUGGAACUGCCUUUAAAACUGUUAGUCUUGAGAUCGAGAGAGGUGAGUGGAAUUCCAAGUGUAGAGGUGAAAUUCGUAGAUAUUUGGAGGAACACCAGUGGCGAAGGCGGCUCACUGGCUCGAUACUGACGCUGAGGUACGAAAGUGUGGGGAGCAAACAGGAUUAGAUACCCUGGUAGUCCACACCGUAAACGAUGAAUGCCAGACGUCAGCAAGCAUGCUUGUUGGUGUCACACCUAACGGAUUAAGCAUUCCGCCUGGGGAGUACGGUCGCAAGAUUAAAA
rnacentral:rRNA from 1 species